AUUCCAGCUCCAAUAGCGUAUAUUAAAGUUGUUGCAGUUAAAAAGCUCGUAGUUGGAUUUGUGGUGAAUUGCAGCGUCCUCUUUUGGUCUUGCUGCAAUUUGCCAUCCUUGGGUGGAAUCUGUGUGGCAUUAGGUUGUCGCGCAGGGGAGGCUCAUCGUUUACUGUGAAAAAAUCAGCGCGUUCAAAGCAGGCUUAGGCCGUUGAAUGUAUUAGCAUGGAAUAAUAAGAUAGGGCCUUGGUACUAUUUUGUUGGUUUGUGCACCGAGGUAAUGAUUAAUAGGGACAGUUGGGGGUAUUCGUAUUCCAUUGUCAGAGGUGAAAUUCUUGGAUUUCUGGAAGACGAACUACUGCGAAAGCAUUUACCAAGGAUGUUUUC
rnacentral:rRNA from 1 species